ensembl:snRNA U2 U2 spliceosomal RNA
GUCGUUUCUUGGCCUUUGGCUAAGAUCAAGUGUAGCAUCUGUUCUUCUCAGUUUAAUAUCUGAUAUGUCCUCUAUCUGAGGACAAUGUAUUAAAUGGAUUUUUGGAACAGGGACAUGGAAUAGGAGCUUGCUCCAUCCACUCCACGCAUCAACCUGGUAUUGCAGUACCUCCAGGAACAUUGCACCCCUC